rnacentral:piRNA from 1 species
UAAAUAGCCUGGACCAUAGUCAUGCCC